rnacentral:rRNA from 1 species
CCUACGGGUGGCAGCAGUGAGGAAUAUUGGUCAAUGGGCGGGAGCCUGAACCAGCCAAGUCGCGUGAGGGAAGACGGUCCUAUGGAUUGUAAACCUCUUUAGGCGGGGAGCAAUGCCGGGCACGUGUGCCCGGCGGGAGAGUACCCGCAGAAUAAGCAUCGGCUAACUCCGUGCCAGCAGCCGCGGUAAUACGGAGGAUGCGAGCGUUAUCCGGUUUUAUUGGGUUUAAAGGGUGCGUAGGAGGAUUUUUAAGUCAGCGGUAAAAUGUCCGGGCUCAACCCGGGGCGGCCGUUGAAACUGGGGAUCUGGAGUGGGAGAGAAGUAUGCGGAAUGCGUGGUGUAGCGGUGAAAUGCAUAGAUAUCACGCAGAACUCCGAUUGCGAAGGCAGCAUACCGGCGUCCGACUGACGCUGAGGCACGAAAGCGUGGGGAUCGAACAGGAUUAGAUACCCCUGUAGUC